ACUUGAUUAGACCUUGAACCACUUCUCAUGUUUUUCAUUUGUGUGGUGACGACCUUCCUCCUGACUCAAAUCAGCCUGGGCUCAUUCCACGUCUAGCGCUCUCUGGAGAUUCAUGCCCCAGCGACUCUGUCUGCUCCGAGAGCUGACUUCAUUCUGAUCAGGAGCUGCAACAGAAAAAAAAGAGAAGGACAUGGAGAUCACGAUUACAGCACCCCAUUGACCCACCUGCCGUUAGCAAGAUGAAUUAGCUGAGUCCAUGCUAGUGACAACAGCUACAGAGGGGAAAAUGAUCCUGGUGCCGCAAAGACUUGGACUCCCAGACAGCACCAGGAAGCAGACGGGGGCCAAUGGACCCCAGGGAAAGGGAGAAAGACAUGAAUAAGAUAAACACCUUCACUAAGGCUGCAAUUGUGUAAUGGUGACAGAGGUUGCUCACACGCUAUAAAAUGAAAGAGAACACUGCAACACAGCAAGUCACCACACAUUUUCUUUUUGAGAAAAUGAAUGUGGAGAAAUGUGUGAUAUCA